UAAUACGGAGGGUAGCGAGCGUUGUCCGGAAUCAUUGGGUGUAAAGGGUGCGUAGGCGGGUUCUUAAGUCUGGGGUGAAAGUCUGCGGCUCAACCGUAGGAUUGCCUUGGAUACUGGGAGUCUCGAGUAUGACAGAGGCCGGUAGAAUUCGUGGUGUAGCGGUGAAAUGCAUAGAUAUCACGAAGAAUACCAGUGGCGUAGGCGGCCGGCUGGGUCAACACUGACGCUGAGGCACGAGAGUGUGGGGAGCAAAACAGGAUUAGAUACCCUGGUAGUCCACACCGUAAACGUUGUAUACUAGGUGUUGGUCUCGCUUCGGCGGGAUCAGUGCUGCAGCUCACGCAAUAAGUAUACCGACCUGGGGAGUACGCCGGCAACGGUGAAACUCAAAGGAAUUGACGGGGGCCCGCACAAGCGGUGGAGCAUGUGGCUUAAUUCGAUGCAACGCGAAGAACCUUACCCGGGCUAAAUCAUGCACGACGUAUUUGGAAACAGAUAUUCCCUUC
rnacentral:rRNA from 1 species